GUAUGCAUAUUACAUGAGAGUUGCCAUAUGUUGAUAAAGUAGUGUCGAAAAAGGGUGAGGAAUACUAAGAAGUCAUAGAGUUAAUUUUCUCAAACGGUUAAAGUUAUUUUUCAAGUACCACAGCUACAUUCAAUGUAAGACUACACAUCAACAUAUGUGAAACUAUUGUAUGUUGAUGAAUAAGUAUGCAGAAUAUUGCUAUACUAUUUUCUUUCAUGCUCACUAGUUACUUCUCAUAAAACUGAAUCUGAAAUUACCUCCUUACUUGGUUUUGAACUACUGGAGAGGUCAUUUUGUAUUGGUCACGUGCAAGCCUUCUAGGUUCUCCUGCAGUACAAGCAGCAAAAACAUGAGCAACGAACCAUCACAUAUACAUUGUCAGACCAUGCAACUCUCUAAUUAUUGUAACUACACAAGUGCAAGCAAUUCCUAUUGUGUAGAACUUGCAUUGUUUAACAAUAUGCAAAAACAAGUAUAUAGCACUGUAAUGUUCACAGAACGACAUGAUUUGGAAACACACUGUUCUCUCCAUUUAACUUGGAUAGCAGCUUGCGUUUUUGCCCGGCUGUAACAGAAAUAGCGUAUUAAAUUAAACGAUACUUUGAGAAGCGUUCACUUAUUUUAUGGUCAUCAUUCCAAGAGUAUUAGUUACCUAUCAACCUCCAUCUUGCCUUUUUCAAUAUAUGGCUCUUGUAGCUGGAGUUGGACAGGCUGCUGGAUCCAUUUCCUGUCAAGAUUUGGGUAUUAUCAAAAACUGAAAAAGUGGAAAGUGUAUCAUACUGUGGGAGAAAAUACAGCAGAAAAAGGGACAGGAAAUCACCUCCCUGGAAACUUCUUUUGCUGUUUGAUGGGAUAUUCGUACAAAAUUUAAUUUAUUUUCUCUAUUUCGCUGGAUAAAAGAGACAAAAAGUAAUAUUGCACAUGAGUCAUACUGAUCGUGAAUCAUAAACCAGGCUAUGAAAAGAAUUAUAUGUUACAUUUCUCUCUAAAUAAUAAGCUAUCUGAUAUCAUAUUUACUGGGAGUGGAAUACAAAGAACGAGAAUUUCUGUGUAGGCGGUGCCAAUUGAUAAACUUUAAUUUGUCUUGGUGUUUGCGCAGAGAUUGUUCUUUCCGGAGUUAGCUUCAUAGAAGCCAAGAAGAUAAUUAUUCUGGUGAUUUAUUUUUAUUAUACCCGGUAGUUAUCUUGUAGGAUAUUUACAAAAAAAAACUAUGGAAGAUGAAAAAAAAGAUAGAUAAAGUAUAGGACUAAAAAUAAUAUAAUGAAUGAUACUUUUAGAGAUAUCCCCUAUGAUGAGGCAUUGUAUUGGAAAAGACUUCUCAUCAUUUACAAUGUGUACCAAAAUUAUUUGUUACAACAUACUCCCUCCGUCCCAAAAUAAAUGUCUUAAGCUUAGUAUAACUUUGUACUAGAGCUAGUACAAAGUUGAGAUAGUUAUUUUGGGAUAGAGGGAGUAUUUAUCAAGAGACAAUCACUUAUAACUGAUAUUACAAAAAAAAAUACCACAUGAAUCAGUCAACAUCAAACUCAUCACCCAAACUUCACUUCUUGUACUAAUUAAGAUCGAAAUAUAUUGUCCAGAAAACAUAUACCAUAUAGGCUAUACAGUUUGCAGCAAAAAAUGCUAGAAUGUAAAUGGAGGUAUACCUAUAAGUUUAUAACCUGUUACUCUGCCCAAUAUCUUGCCACUUCCUCUUUGUGUGUUGUCCUCUGANNN
rnacentral:lncRNA from 1 species